GACAGAGGGUGCAAACGUUGUUCGGAAUUACUGGGCGUAAAGCGCGUGUAGGCGGCCAAGCAAGUCGGAUGUGAAAGCCCUCGGCUCAACCGGGGAAGUGCACUCGAAACUGCAUGGCUAGAGUCCGGAAGAGGAGAGUGGAAUUCCUGGUGUAGCGGUGAAAUGCGCAGAUAUCAGGAAGAACACCCGUGGCGAAGGCGGCUCUCUGGGACGGUACUGACGCUGAGACGCGAAAGCGUGGGGAGCGAACAGG
rnacentral:rRNA from 1 species